rnacentral:piRNA from 1 species
UAGGAAACAAACACAAACAGGCAAGUCUCA